UGAAUCCAUUUAAACAUUAAAAAAAAAACAUUAAUCUACAAUGAGUGUUUGAUGUCAGACAGUAAAGACAAGAGAGGUAGGCACUAUGGUUGAGGAAUGUGGUCUCUAUCGUAGCCUAUAUCCACAGUAGGCAUAUAGACCUAGGCUAUAGUACAACAAUAUUUAACCUUCGAAUUUGUCCAGAAAUAUGCUAAGGUUUUCCAAAGAUUGAAGUUUUCGAAUAAAAGUAAGUCACCUGUGUGUAUUCGUGUGUGUGUGUGUGUGUGUGAGUGGUUGCCUGCCUCCGCACGUGCAUGUGCGUGUAAUGUCCCAGGGUGCGUAUAAUGUCCUCAUAAAUGUCCCAGGGUCAAAACAGAGCCCGUCCGUAAGCUUUCAAGCUUUCGCCGUUCAUUGCUCUGAACCAAGUCAAAAUUGUCUAGAAGCCUAUCAUAAAAGUUCAUGAAUACAAAUAAGGUUAAGGUUAUGCAGAAGGUUAGCAGUGUGGUUAACAGGCCCCUGAGUGGUGCAGUGGUCUAAGGCACUGCAUCUCAGUGUUACAGGCAUCACUACAGACCCUGGUUUGAUUCCAGCCUGUGUCACAACUGGCUGUGAUUGGGAGUCCCAUAGGGUGGAGCACAACUUGCCCAGUGUUGUCCCAGUUAGUGUUUGUCUAUGGUAAGCUAUCAUUGUAAAUAAGAAAUUGUUCUUAACUGACUUAUAUUUUAAAACAUGUUAGGGUUAGAUUUGGCUCAGUUGGUAGAGCGUGGUAAUGCCAGUGUUGUGAGUUUGAUUCCCAUGGGGUGCCAUGAUGGGAAAAAAAGUACAAAAAUGUAUCCACUCAAUACUGUAUGAUGGUAUUUCUGGUAGAAAAUGGUUUAAAAUCAUAUAGUAGAAAUAGGUGGGGUAUAUUACUUUGUAGCUGUGGUAACUAGAAACGACCGCACUCGACAUUCAGUGAUCCAGAAAUAUCUGUUUAACCUGUUGACAUGAGAGGGGAAGCGGACUGUAUCCCAAUGAACCACCGGCAAUUCACUUGUUUAUGAUGAAAAAAAUGAAGCCCUUGUUCUGUCAGAAAGGCUCAUGUGUUGUGUGUGGCAAGGUUUUUUUAAGAGGCCCUGAGGCUUGGACAACAUAGAUUCAUGUUGUAGGCUAUUAGAUGCAACAUUAUAUUGUCUUGCAAAGAGAUAAAAUGGGUACAAUGGAAAGGGUUAGACACAGACAAUACAUCUCAUUUUGCUUCAACCAUGCAAUUAUAGCAACAACAAAAAUAAUUUUAGGCUUAUUGACCAAUUUUUUUCAUUUAUUUAGAAAAUAACAAUUCACUUUACAAUAGUUAAAUGUAUGUUGUAAAUCAAUAAACAUAAACAUUCACAAACAUACAUUAUGUUCCUAUACAAAUAGGCCUACUCUAGUAUGGGGGAAAUAAAUAGAACGUGUACCUACUGCUAGAGGCCCGUACAAAAAAAACGUCCUAACCUAUUCUGAUAAUGCAUUUGCAAAUAAUUGUAGCACGUCUUAAACAGUGACUAUUGCGUUCAAAAACAAACAAACAUGUUAUAGUGGACAGUGUCAAUAAACUUCACAGAUAGGCCUAUACAGCAGUCUACCUCUGUUGUCCCGUUGGUCUUUGGAAACGUCCUUUUUUGGAGUGACGAAAGUUCAACGGCUGGGGUAGAAAGUUCCCUUGCGCUGAUCGAGUGGUCCUAAACAUUUCACAAUUUCGGUAAAUACUGUUGAACUGUCAAGAACCACUGGACCAAAGAGGUACAAUCAUUAAUGUUCUUCAGGCACAAAAAUACAUGCACAAAAAAAAGAGGAACAAUAUCUUGAAUGCAAAUCCAGGUUUUCUAAAGUUGGCACCCUGUAGUAAAGUACAGAAUUAGUACCUUCACCUUCGUCUGGAGACAGUGAAUUCCAGCUCUCAAAUCCCGACUGUGCCUCUCACCAACAAGGUGCUCUAUUUAUCUAUACAAGUUGGUGGUUGACUGUUCAAACAGGUCUGAUGAUCCAGUAAGGAAUGAAGCUCUUACCGGUCCGACCAGUCAAGCUCAGGUCCAUUCACGCGGGCAGGGACAUUCCAAGGUCGCCUUCUGUUUACCUGUCCAACCGGUCUAAAGCCAGAGAGGACACACCUGUAUGCUUCAGCUAAACUCGUGUGGGUCUGUCCGUAGUCCUAGAAUGUUUGUGAGGGAGAUCCUACUUCUGUCUGGCGACGUCAAUCAUCGUUAUAGGAUUUGGUUUACCAACCUGGUCUCAGAGCAUUUCGGAUUAUCCUGUACGUAAAUCCGAGACACUCCUUUUAGUAUGAUACGUUUUGUAUGGGAUAUAUUCAUUUGUGAAUGUCCAUUACCCAUUUUAUACUUUGCCUUUAGUAACCAUCUGUCUUAUGUAACCAUACCGUAUCAUACUCAUUUGAGGGUCCUGGAUUUACAUUUACAAUGUUACGUCCAGUCUAUGAGACCAGGCUGGGUUCAUCGACUGUCAAAUGUGUCUAUCACCAUUAUCUCAAAAUCAGACAAGAUACACAUACAGUUGAAGUUGGAAGAUUACAUACACUUAGGUUGGAGUCAUUCAAAAACUUGUUUUUCAACCACUCCAAAAAUGUCUUGUUAACAAACUAUAGUUUUGGCAAGUCAGUUAGGACAUCUACUUUGUGCAUGACACAAGUAAUUUUUUCCAACAAUUGUUUACAGACAGAUUAUGUCACUUAUAAUUCACUGUAUCACAAUUCCAGUGGGUCAGAAGUUUACAUACGCUAAGUUGACUGUGCCUUUAAACAGCUUGUAAAAUUCCUGAAAAUGAUGUCAUGGCUUCAGAAGCUUCUGAUAGGCUAAUUGACAUAAUUUGAGUCAAUUGGAGGUGUAUCUGUGGAUGUAUUUCAAGGCCUACCUUCAAAUUCAGUGCCUCUUUGCUUGACAUCAUGGGAAAAUCAAAAGAUAUCAGCCAAGACCUCAGAAAAAAAGUUGUAGACCUCCACAAGUCUGGUUCAUCCUUGGGAGCAAUUUCCAAACGCCUGAAGGUACCACGUUCAUCUGUACAAACAAUAGUACGCAAGUAUAAACACCAUGGGACCACGCAGCCGUCAAACUGCCCAGGAAGGAGACGCGUUCUGUCUCCUAGAGAUGAACGUACUUUGGUGCGAAAAGUGCAAAUCAAUCCCAGAACAACAGCAAAGGACCUUGUGAAGAUGCUGGAGGAAACAGGUACAAAAGUAUCUAUAUCCACAGUAAAAUGAGUCCAAAUCGACAUAACCUGAAAGGCCGCUCAGCAAGGAAGAAGCCAUUGCUCCAAAACCGGAAUAAAAAAGCCAGACUACGGUUUGCAACUGCACAUGGGGACAAAGAUCGUACUUUUUGGAGAAAUGUCCUCUGGUCUGAUGAAACAAAAAUAUAGCUGUAUGGCCAUACUUGUCAUCGUUAUGUUCGGAGGAAAAAGGGGGAGGCUUGCAAGCCGAAGAACACCAUCCCAACCGUGAAGCAAGGGGUGGCAGCAUCAUGUUGUGGGGGUGCUUUGCUGCAGGAGGGACUGGUGCACCUCACAAACUAGAUGGCUUCAUCAGGAAGAAAAAUUAUGUGGAUCUAUUGAAGCAACAUCUUAAGACAUCAGUCAGGAAGUCAAAGCUUGGUUGCAAAUGGGUCUUCCAAAUGUACAUUGACCCCAAGCAUACUUCCAAAGUUGUGGCAAAAUGGCUUAAGGACAAUAAUGUCAAGGUAUUGGAGUGGCCAUCACAAAGCCCUGUCCUCAAUCCUAUGAAAAUGCGUGGGUAGAACUGAAAAAGCAUGUGCGAGCUAGGAGGCCUACAGACCUGACACAGUUACAGCAGCUCUGUCAGGAGGAAUGGGCCAAAAUUCACCCAACUUGUUGUAGGAAGCUUGUGGAAGGUUACCCAAAACAUUUGACCCAAGUUAAACAAUAUAAAGGCAAUGCUACCAAAUACUAAUUGAGUGUAUGUACAUUUCUGACCCACUGGGAAUGUGAUGAAAGAAAUAAAAGCUGCAAUUCUAUCAUUCUACUCUAAUAUUAUUCUGACAUUUCACAUUCUUAAAACAAAUUGGUGACCCUAACUCACCUAAGACAGGGAAUUUUCACUCAGAUUAAAUGUCAGGAAUUGUGAAAACUGAGUUUAAAUGUAUUUGGCUAAGGUGUAUGUAAACUUUCGACUUCAACUGUAGCAUUUAGCAAAAAAACACAUUUUCACACACAUCUCAAAUCUAUGAAUUAGAAAUCUGAGAACAGUAAUAUUUUACACAUACAUGAAGGUAGCCUACCCAUACACUCUUGGAACCAAAAAUGAUUUUAUUCUUGCUUCUAAUAUGGCAGCCCUCAAGGUUCUAGAACCAAAAUUGGUUCCAUGUAGAACCCUAUAUGGAACCUAAGGUUUCUAUAUGGAACCAGUUUUGGUUCAGCGAAGAAGAACCCCUGAGGUUCUGAUCAAAGAACCUUCUAAAAUGGUUCUAUAUAGAACCUUUAGGGGUGGCAUAUAUGAAACAAGCAAUAGAACCCUUUUUGGUUCUAUCCAGAACCUUUUCUUUAAGAGCAUAAGCAAUCAUUUCUGAUGAGAAAACACAAAUGUGAGAAAUUUGUGGAUAUAGCGUUUUGGAAAUAAACUCUACAAAUGCAGAAAGGAUACACUAAUUUGCUGUGCAACAGUUUGUAAGGUGUCAACCAUGAUCGCCUCAUUAAAUCCUUCCUAAUAGUCUACCUCACUUCUGGGAGCAUACAGUAUAUAUCCAUCAUUUAGCUGAAAUGUUAUGUUUGUAUCCUGCAUAUUAGACUGUGAUAUGUGGUUGUCUCACCUAGCUAUUGUAAGAUUAAUACACUUAUUAUAAGUCACUCUGGAGAAGAGAAUGUCUUAAAUGACUAAAAUGUCAAAUAUGUUUAACAUAGAAAUCUCAUAUUACUGAUUUGAAUAAUUUUGUAAAAACUUUUUGAAAUAUUGAUAUCAAAAAUGUAUCAGGUGUACAGUUCUUUAUAAAAAAAAUGUAGUUAUUUGUUACAUUUGACUGAGUAAAAGCUAUCAGUACUACGUAUUUCUGAGAGUGAGGUGGCUAGCCUAGCGAUUUAGAGUGUUGAGUCAGCAACAGAAAGUCGCUGGUUUGAAUCUGGAGCUGGCAUGCUGGGAAAAUCUGCCAUUCUGCCCUUGAGCAAGGUAGUUAAUCUCCCAAAAACUGCUUCAUGGGUGCCGUGGAUGUCGAUCAAGGCAAUUGAUUAAUCACAAUUUUAUUCCUCAUCAAUCUACACACAAUAACCCAUAAUGACAAAGCAAAACAGGUUUUUAGACAUUUUUGCAAAUGUAUUACAAAUAAAAAACUGAAAUGCCUUAUUUACAUAACUAUUCAGUCCCUUUGCUAUGAGACUCAAAAUUGAGCUCAGGUGCAUCCUGUUUCCAUUGAUCAUCCUUGAGAUGUUUCUACAGCUUGAUUGGAGUCCACCUGUGGUAAAUUCAAUUGAUUGGACAUGAUUUGGAAAUACACACACCUGUCUAUGUACAGUAAUGUCCCACGGUUGACAGUGCAUGUCAGAGCAAAAACCAAGCCAUGAGGUCAAAGGAAUUGUCCGUGGAGCUCUGAGACAGGAUUGUGUUGAGGCACAAGGGUACCAAAACACUCUGACAGCAUUGAAGGUCCCCAAGAACACAGUGGCCUCCAUCAUUCUUAAAUGGAAGAAGUUUGGAACCACCAAGACUCUUCCUAGAGCUGGCACCCAGCCAAACUGAGCAAUUUGGGGAGAAGGGCCUUGGUCAGGGAGGUGACCAAGAACCUGAUUGUCACUCUGACAGAGCUCUCAAGUUCCUCUGUGAUUUCCCUUCCAGAAAUCCAGCACAACUCCACCAAUCAGGCCUUUAGCAGGACAGAAAAUGGUUAAAUUCACACACAUGUCAAGAGAACAUUUCUGGUCAUCCCCACUGCCUCUGAUCUGGCAGACUCACUAAACACAAAUGCUUUGUUUGUAAAUUAUGUCUGAGUGUUGGAGUGUGCCAGAAGAAAAUUGUGCCAGAAGAAAAUUGUGCCAUCUGGGUUUGCUUAAUAUAAGGAUUUUUCUUUAUUUAUUUGUGGUUUAACUUUAACUUUUGAUACUUAAGCAUAUUUUAGCAGUUACAUUUCCUUUUGAUACUUAAGUAUAUUUAAAUCCAAACAUUUUUAGACUUUUACUCAAGUAGAAUUUUACUGGGUGACUUUCACUUUUAUUUGAGUCAUUUUCAAUUAAAGUAUCUUUACUUUUACUCAAGUAUGACAAUUCGGUACUUUUUCCACCACUGAUAAAGAUGUACAGAGCAAAGUACAGAGAGAUCCUUGAUGAAAACCUGCUCCAGAGCGCUCAGGACCUCAGACUGCGGUGAAUGUUCACCUUCCAAUGACCCUAAGCACACAGCCAAGACAAUGCAGGAGCUUCGGGACAAGUCUCUGAAUGUCCUUGAGUGGCCCAAGACUUGAACCUGAUCUGGAGAGACCUGAAAAUAGCUGUGCAGCAACACUCUCCAUCCAACCUGACAGAGCUUGAGAGGAUCUGCAUGGGAGAAACUCCCCAAAUAAAGGUGUGCCAAGCUUGGAGCAUCAUACCCAAGAAGACUUGAGCCUGUAAUCGCUGCCAAUGGUGCUUCAACAAAGUGCUGAGUAAAGGGCCUGAAAACUUAUGUAAAUGUAAAAAAAAAUGUUUCUCCUUUGUAAUUAUGGGGUAUUGUGUGUAGACUGAGGAGGAUCAUUUAUAAAAUCCAUUUUAGGAUAAGGCUGUAACCUAACAAAAUGUGGAGUAGGUCAAGGGGUCUGAAUACUUUCCUAAUGCACUGGAGGACACAUGCUUUUGUUAAGCAGCAUCACUAAUGAAAACAAUAGAGGUUACCAACCAACUUAAUAGUUGGUUCCCCCCACCAACCAAAAUAAUGUAAAAAGAAUGUUGACAUAUCAUGUCAGUUACAUAGUGUUGAUCUGUACAGCACUUUGAGAUAUCAGCUGAUGUACGAAGGGCUAUAUAAAUAAAUUUGAUUUGAUUUGAUUUGGAGAGGGUGUUGCUAUCAGCAAGUGAUUUUUGUUUCAAUGGUUUCCAAUCACCCAGUGAGAAUUCCUGUCAGUGUCUAUGAUACUAGUUGAGCUAGUUGAACCUGCAGCUCGGAGGAGGAAGUCAUACCACCCAUGGCUUCAGGAGAGACAGAGCAGGGCACAGACAGUAUCUGUCUGUGUCAUGAGUGUCUCUUGUUUCCAAGAAGGCAUCAAGAUCUGGAAACAGGUACAGUGAGGUAUGGGGUUUGCUAGCAGUUGCUAAUAGAUGGUUAUGCUGUUCAAUUCCCCUAAACCUCCUUACAAGAUUGUCAGCAGUUUUGUGUACAAAUUUUAUUUAUUGCAAGAAAUACAAGAUACUGCACAAAAGUUAUCAAUAAAGAAUUCACUUAAAGUAAAAAAGGAAAGAAAAACACAACGUAUAGAGCUCUGCUUAUGAUGCACUGAAGCAGUAGAAACGGAGAAGGCUGCAAAGUACAUAGAACAGAGAAUGGGGAUUUCCGUUCUAAGGCAAAGUAUUUACCUCAUGGUGUUACCAUGGUGUCAGCAGGUGGCUCAACCUGCGGUGAUUUUAUAAUUGUAAUGUUAAUUAGAAGUCAAAAUAUGAGAUGAGUUUUCACAAGGAUCUAAUUAAAUAUAAUUUGUCUUAUAGCAAUUCUCAUUGGACAGCUACAGUGGAUUUUCAUUUGAAUCCAUUAGGUGGUCACAUUUGAUAUUGGAAAUCUUUUAUAUCACCCCUGCCAUGGCAUCUCAUACCACACAUUUCAUCAUUAGUCUGAUAUAACAUGGUGCCUGAUGCCCUAACAAUACCUGUGAAUAAGCCAAUCAAUACGCCUGUCUGCCUGCGUCAGAUUCGCUAUUGUUUAUCUUAGGUUUACUUCAUACUGUACCGACAGCAUUCCGUUUGUGAUAGUUGUCAGUUAGAGAAAGAAAGGUUGAUGAGGAAAUUGCAGUCAUGUAGGCAGGUGUCAUUGAAAGAGGGGAUUUACACGUUUUAAAAGGACAUAGUGAGAGAACAAGGUAGGGCGAAACUUGUCUCCCUUGUUCCAAUAAUACCAUUUUUUUUUAAAUUCACCAUGACAGUAGUAAAAGUAGCCAUGACAAUGACUGACAAAGAGUUUGGUAUGUGUCCAUGUUUAUUUAUACAGUGCCUACGUAAAGUAUUCAGACCCCUUGACUUUUUCCACAUUUGUUACAUUACAGCCUUAUUAUAAAAUGGAUUAAAUAAAAUAAAAAAUUCCAAAAUACAGGUGUACCAAGCUUGUAUGUUCAUACCCAAGAAGACUCGAGGCUGUAAUUGCUGCCAAAGGUGCUUCAAUAAAGUUCUGAGUAAAGGGUCUGAAUACUUAUGUAAAUGUAAUAUUUCAGUUUUUAGCUUUGUCAUUAUCUGGUAUUGUGUGUAGAUUGAUGAGGGGGAAAACUAAUACAUUUUAGAACAAGGCUGUAACGUAACAAAAUGGGGAAAAAGUCAUUGGGUCUGAAUACAUUCUGAAGGCACUAUAGCUAUAGAAAGUAUUCAGAACCGUUCCCUCUUUCCUAUUUUUUUUAACGUUACAGCCUUACAGCAUAAUUAUCUUUUUGUUUUCUCAUGAUUUGGUUGGGUCUAAUUGUGUUGCUGUCCUGGGGCUGUGUGGGGUCUGUUUGUGUUUGUGAACAGAGCUCCAGGACCAGCUUGCUUAGGGGGUCUUUUCCAGGUUAAUUUCUCUGUAGGUGAUGGCUUUGUUAUGGAAGGUUUGGAAAUCACUUCCUUAUAGGUGGUUGUAGAACUUAACAGGUCUUUUCUGGAUUUGGAUGAUUAGCGGGAAUCACCCUAAUUCUGCUCUGCAUUAUUUGGUGUUUUACAAUGUACACUGAGGAUAUUUUUACAGAAUUCGCAUGCAGUGUCUUAAUUUGGUGUUUGUUCCAUUUUGUAAAUUAUUGGUUGGUGAGUGGACCCCAGACCUCAGAACCAUAAAGAGCAAUGAGUUUUAUAAGUAUUUUUUAGCUAGAUCCUAAUUGAUAUGUCGAAUUUGAUGUUCCUUUUGAUGGCAUAAUAGGCCCUUCUUGCCUUGUGUCUCAGAUUGUUCACAUUUUUGUGGAAGGUACCUGUGGCGCUGAUGUUUAGGCUGAGGUAUGUAUAGUUUUUUGUGUUCUCUAGGGUAAUGGUAUCUAGAUAGAAUUUGUAUUUGUGGUCCUGGCAACUCAACCUUUUUGGAAUACCAUAAGUUUUGUCAUUUAAUGUCAGGGCCCAGGUGUGAAUCUGUGGAGAAGAUAUAUGUAGGUGCUGCUGUAGGCUCUCCUUGGUUGUCGACAGAAGCACCAGAUCAUCAGCAAACAGUAGACAUUUGACUUCAGAUUCUAGUAGGGUGAGGCCGGGUGCUGCAGACUAUUCUAGUGCCCUUGCUAAUUCAUUGAUAUAUAUCUUGAAGAGGGUGGGGCUUAAGCUGCAUCCCUGUCUCAUCCCCCGGCCGUUUGAAAAUAAAUGUAUGUUUUUUGCCCAUUUAAACUGCACACUUGUUGUUUGCGUACAUGGAUUUUAUAAUGUCAUAUGUUUUUUCCCCAACAUCACUUUCCAUCAAUUUGUAUAGCAGAUCCUCAUGCCAGGAAAGCAUGAGAAGACUUUGCCUUUGUUUUGGUUUGUUUGUUUGUCAAUUGGGAUGUGCAGGGUGAAAACGUGUCUGUUGUAAGGUAAUUUGGUAAAAAGCCAAUUUCAUAUUUGCUCAGUACAUUUUUUUCACUGAGGAACUGUACGAGUCUGUUGUUAAUAAUAAUGCAGAUGAUUUUCCCAAGGUUGCUGUUGAUGCAUAUCCCAUGGUAGUUAUUGGGGUCAAAUUUGACUCCACUUUUGUGGAUUGGUGUCACGUUCUGACCUUAGUUCCUUUGUUUUUGUCUUUGUUUUAGUAUGGUCAGGGCAUGAGUUGGGGUGGGCAGUCUAUGUUUGGUUUUCUAUGUUGGUUUUUGAGUUCGGCCUAGUAUGGUUCUCAAUCAGAGGCAGCUGUCAAUUGUUGUCCCUGAUUGAGAAUCAUACUUAGGAAGCCUGGGUUUCACUUUUGGUUUGUGGGUGUUUGUUUUCCAUGUGAGUGUUUGGUCCACACGGUACUGUUUCGAUUUUCGUUUUGUUCACAUCGUUUAUUGUUUUGUAUUUCAGUAUUCAGUUCGUUUCAUUAAAUAUUACAUCAUGAACACUUACCACGCUACGCAUGGUCCGAUCCUUCUUCCACCUCUGAAAACCCUUACAGAAACACCCACCACCAGAGGACCAAGCAGCGUAGUAACGGGCAGCAGCAGGAGAUGCAGCGAUAUUUGGAGAACUGGACUUGGGAGGAGAUUCUGGACAGCAAAGGACCCUGGGCACAGCCAGGGGAAUAUCGCCGCCCCAAAGCAGAGCUGGAGGCAGCGAAAGCAGAGAGGCGCCGGUAUGAGGAGGCAGCACGGCAGCGUGGCUGGAAGCCCGAGAGGCAGCCCCAAAAAUGUAUUGGGUGGGGGCACACAGGGAGUGUGGCUAAGUCAGGAGGAGACCUGAGCCAACUCCCCGUGCUUACCGGAGAGCGAGAGGGACCGGGCAGGCACCGUGUUAUGUGGUGGAGCGCACGGUGUCCCGGGUGCGUGUGCAUAGCCCGGUGCGGUACAUUCCAGCUCCUCGUAUUGGCCGGGCUAGAGUGGGCAUCGAGCCAGGUGCCAUGAAGCCGGCUCUACGCACCUGGUCUCCAGUGCAUCACCUUGGGCCGGCAUACAUGGCACCAGCCUUACGCAUGGUGUCCCCGGUUCGCCAGCACAGCCCGGUGCGGGCUAUUCCACCUCGCCGCACUGGCCUGGCUACAGGGAGCAUUCAACCAGGUAAGGUUGGACAGGCUAUGUGCUCAAGAGCUCCAGUGCGCCUGCACAGUCCGGGCUAUCCGGUGCCACUGCCACGCACCAGCCCUCCGGUGGCAGCCCCCGCACCAGGCUGUCUCUCCGUCUUCUCCCUACAGGUGCUCCCGCCUGUCCAGCGCUGCCAGAGCCUUCAUCCUGCCCAGCGCUGCCAGAGUCUCCCGUCUGUCCUAAUCCGCCAGAUUCUCCCGUCUGUCCUGAGCCGCCAGAGUCUCCCGUCUGUCCUGAGCCACCAGAGUCUCUUUUUUUUGCUCACCGUUCUUGUGAUCAUUUUGACCCCACGGGGUGAGAUCUUGCGUGGAGCCCCAGAUCGAGGGAGAUUAUCAGUGGUCUUGUAUGUCUUCCAUUUCCUAAUAAUUCAAACCAAGCUGCUUACCUAUUGCAGAUUCAGUCUUCCCAGCCUGGUGCAGGUCUACAAUUUUGUUUCUGGUGUCCUUUGACAGCUCUUUGGUCUUGGCCAUAGUGGAGUUUGGAGUGUGACUGUUUGAGGUUCUGGACAGGUGUCUUUUAUACUGAUAACAAGUUCAAACAGGUGCCAUUAAUACAGGUAAUGAGUGGAGGACAGAGGAGCCUCUUAAAGAAGAAGUUACAGGUCUGUGAGAGCCAGAAAUCUUGCUUGUUUGUAGGUGACCAAAUACUUAUUUUCUACCAUAAUUUGCAAAUAAAUUCAUUAAAAAUCCUACAAUGUGAUUUUCUAGAUUUUUUUUCUCAUUUUGUCUUUGUUGAAAUGUAGCUAUGAUGAAAAUUCUUUGUUAUAGAGCCAAAAAGAUCUAUCCGUUUUGGAUAGAUAACUCUUCAUGUUGUUUGUUUAGAGUUUUCCAAUUUUCACAGAAGUGGUUUGAUUCUAUGGAUUCUUCAAUUACAUUGAGCUGAUUUCUGACAUGCUGCUCCCUCUUUUUCCACAGUAUAUUUCAGUAUUGUUUUAUGGAUUCACCAUAUUUAAGGCAUAGGCUGAGGUUUUCUGGGUCUCUCUCUGUUUUUGGGUGGAUAGGUUACUCAAUUUCUGUCUUAGGUUUUUGCAUUCUUCAUCAAACCAUUUGUUAUUGUUAUUAAUUUCCUUAAGUUUUCUGCUUGACAUUUUUAGAUUGGAUAGGAAAGCUGAGAGGUCAAAUAUACUGUUUAGGUUUUCUAAUGCCAAGUUUACACCUUCACUAUUACAGUGAAACAUUUUGUCCAGGAAAUUGUCUAGAAGGGAUUGAAAUUGUUGUUGCCUAAUAGUUUUUUGGUAUAUUUCCAUCCUACUUUCCUUCCAUCUGUAGCAUUUCUUAAUAUUAUUCAGUUCCUUUGGCUUUGAUGCCUCAUGACUGAGCAUAGCUCUGUUCAAGUAGAGUGCGAUUUUGCUGUGAUCUGAUAGGGGUGUCAGUGGACUGACUGUGAAUGCUCUAAGAGACUCUGGGUGUAGGUCAGUGAUAAAGUAGUGUCAUGACUGUCCUGUUGGGGUCAGGUUAACAUGGACCACAAUCCUACAGAGAGAUCUUUCACACCCACCAGAGGUGAAGAGAUCUAGAGGUAUGGGGGGGUUAUGACACCUCAUGCCCAUUGUAAAUCUCAAGGCAGCAGACAAAAUCCCCCUGCCCUCUCACUAUGGAUGAAUGGACUGUAUGAUGGGCCUAUGAAUAACCUGCCUCAGAACAUUACCAUGCAAUAAAUGGACUUUGAGACAAUAUGUUUCGUCAGCCAAAAUGGUAGUAGUGACCAUAGAUGGAAUAUGAAAAUGAAUGUCGUUUUUGUUAUGUUAUUAAAAGUUAAAUGACGACGUUAUAAUGAAAACAUUGUAACUUGAAGAGUUUUCACACUAUGUACUUGAGGUUUGCAUACUGUACUUUGUGUGGAAAAUGUCCCUAUCAAAGAGAAUGUUUUAGUAAAGAUGAAAUGUGAAGUUAGUUGUCUAAAUUGGAUCUGAGUCAAAUCCAGACCUUGCCUCGUAACUAGGUACGCCCAGAGAACUUGCCCUGAAGGCGGAAACGCCCAUUUCUGACCCGAGGUUAUAAAACAUGUGAGUUAUGAAUUAACAUAUCAGACUAAGUGACCCUGAGCUGCAGCCAAGAUGAAGACAAAGGAGCCUUUUUACAACCUAUGCUAUGGAUGAGGAGCUGUAUCUAAGGGGGUGAAUUCAAGCAGGACCAUCCGGUCACCACUCUCCAAGGAAUCGCGUGUCUACAUGUUUUUAUUCCCAUGCUGGAACCAUCCACAUUAGCCCUCCUCCGAAGACCCCUUUUCAGAGCAAGGGUCGAGGAAACAGACCACUAACAGAAAGGACACUGACAUCGUUAGGAUAAACAGAGAGUUACACCCGGUAACCGAAGACGGACACUGACAUCGUUAGGAUAAACAGAGAGUUACACCCGGUAACCGAAGACAGACACUGACAUCGUUAGGAUAAACAGAGAGUUACACCCGGUAACCGAAGACGGACACUGACAUCGUUAGGAUAAACAGAGAGUUACACCCGGUAACCGAAGACGGACACUGACAUCGUUAGGAUAAACAGAGAGUUACACCCGGUAACCGAAGACGGACACUGACAUGGUUAGGAUAAACAGAGAGUUACACCCGGUAACCGAAGAUGGAUCGUCAUCAGAGAAGUCAGAACCAGGUCCACGAAAAGACACCCCAUCAGAGACCUUCAACACGUAAUUACAUCAUUAUAUUCUCACCCACAAGAGCGGUAGUUCGCGGCAAGGUUAGGGUUAAAAUAAGCAUAGCUGACAAAUGCACCAAAGUGUGUUUUUCUCUUGUGCACUCUCUCUCUCUUUCUCUCUCUUUUGAAAUCCCCAUUUUGUGUAACACGUGUCAAUUUGUGUUGGCCCGCUAGGGACCUGUUUCAUCGUACUACGUUACAAUCAAUAGCCUAGACUGUGUGUUUGUGUACAGUUGAAGUCGGAAGUUUUCAUACACCUUAGCCAAUUACAUUUAAAGUCAGUUUUCACAAUUCCUGACAUUUUUAUCCUAGUAAAAUUCCCUGUCUUAGGUCAGUUAGGAUCACCACUUUAUUUUAAGAAUGUGAAAUGUCAGAAUAAUAGUAGAGAGAAUAAUUUAUUUCAGCUUUUAUUUCUUUCAUCACAUUCCCAGUCAGUCAAAAGUUUACAUACACUCAAUUAGUAUUUGGUAGAAUUACCUUUAAAUUGUUUAACUUUGGUCAAACAUUUCGGGUAGCCUUCCACAAGCUUCCCACAAUAAGUUGGGUGAAUUUUGGCCCAUUCCUCCUGACAGAGCUGGUGUAACUGAGUCAGGUUUGUAGGCCUCCUUGCUCAGUUCAGCCCAAAAAUUUUCUAUAGGAUUGAGGUCAGAGCUUUGUGAUGGCCACUCCAUUACCAUUGUUGUCCUUAAGACAUUUUGCCACAACUUUGGAAGUAUGCUUGGGGUCAUUGUCCAUUUGUGACCAAGCUUUAACCUCCUGACUGAUGUCUUGAGAUGUUGCUUCAAUAUUUCCACAUAAUAAUCUAUUUUGUGAAGUGCACCAGUCCCUCCUGCAGCAAAGCACCCCCACAACAUGAUGCUGCCACCCCUGUGCUUCACGGUUGGGAUGGUGUUUUUCGGCUUCCAAGCCUCCCCCAUUUUCCUCCAAACAUAACGAUGGUCAUUAUGGCCAAACAGUUCUAUUUUUGUUUCAUCAGACCAGAGGACAUUUCUCCAAAAAGUCCCAUAUUUGUCCCCAUGUGCAGUUGCAAAUCGUAGUCUGGCUUUUUUUAUGGCGGUUUUGGAGCAGUGGCUUCUUCCUUGCUGAGCGGCCUUUCAGGUUAUGUUGAUGUAGGACUUAUUUUAUUGUGGACAUAGAUACUUUUGUAACGGUUUCCUCCAGCAUCUUCACAAGGUCCUUUGCUGUUGUUUUUGGAUUGAUUUGCACUUUUUGCACCAAAGUACGUUCAUCUCUAGGAGACAGAAUGCGUCUCCUUCCUGAGUGAUAUGACGGCUGCGUGGUCCCAUGGUGUUUAUACUUGCGUACUAUUGUUUGUACAGGUGAACGUGGUACCUUCAGGCAUUUGUAAAUUGCUCCCAAGGAUGAACCAGACUAAUCUGUCUGUAAACAAUUGUUCUAAAAAUUACUUGUGUCAUGCACAAAGUAGAUGUCGGGAUGGCAGGGUAGCCUAGUGGUUAGAGUAUUGAACUACUAACCGAAAGGUUGCAAGUUCAAAUCCCCGAGCUGACAAGGUACAAAUCUGUUGUUCUGCCCCUGAACAGGCAGUUAACCCACUGUUCCUAGGCCGUCAUUGAAAAUAAGAAUUUGUUCUUAACUGACUUGCCUAGUUAAAUAAAGGUAAAAUAAAUGUCCUAACUGACUUGCCAAAACCAUAGUUUGUUAACAAGAAAUUUGUGAAGUGGUUAAAAAAUCAGAAUGAGACUGUGGGGGAAAUCGAUUAAUUAGCGACUGUUGUAAAAUCAAUAUUCUGAUAUUCAUUGAGUUAUUUUGGGAAAUAGAAACUCGAUGAAGCCAAAACUUUCCCAUGGUGCCCCAGGUUAAUAAUGACCUAUUCAUUUAAUCACGUAAUUAUAAACCGUUAAUCAUUCGAUGAACAGCAGUUGUCACAUUAAUCAAUAGAACGUCACGACCGUAGUCUACAGUGCUGCUGCCAAGAGAUGAGCUAUAGGUGUACCUAUCAUAGGAGUCCCCUCGAAGCCUACCAUUGACUAUGUUUAUACCAUCUUUCACGGAAGAAAGCAUCCGAGUGAGCGAAACAGCGCCGCUCUCUCUUACUAUAUACUGUAUAUGUAACCCAUGUAUCUGGCCAGAAAUAAUAUGACACGCCAUACUCUUUUUGUCCAGACAGAAUCAGAUACAUGGUCUACACAUACAGAGACAGAGGGGCGCUGUUCCGUUCCUUCUCAUGCUCAAGUAAAUGAUCAAUAUUUCAAUAUGGCAUUUGCACGGUCAAGGAGGUACGGUAGCGCGGGCCAGGCCCUCUAAGGCGGCCCUGCUAUAUCUAUUAUUUUAUUAGUGAUCACUGAGACAGAGUUGUCUUCCAGAAAACCUCUGUGGUUAGCAAAAAGGGUUUAUGAUUAUGUAAUUUAUUGUGCAAUACCUUCAACUCUUCUGUUUACCCAGAUCUUUGUAAUUGUUAUGAUUUGGGCUUAAUCAUACAUGCUGACCCUAUUGCUUUUUUACAAUGGCUCACAGAUUUUGAUUUAGCCGCACAUGUCCAUUUCAAACUUAUAAUUACCAUGGUAUUACUAGUCUAUUACCAGAUUGCUACAUUAGAUCAUGCCCUCUAAUUACUGUGACAAAAUGUUUGGCACCCUCAAGGUUUUCAGCCAUAUCCCUGAUACAGGUAAUGUAUGUGGUGUCUACUCAGAUAUGUUGCUGAGCGAUCUGUAGGAAGAUACGUUACAUAUUUAGCUCUUUGCAGCUUUGUACAGAUAUAGGAUCUAAAUUUGAUAACCCUGUAGCAGGAUAAUUUUCCUGAAAUGCAGAAAAUGUAAAACUUGUAGUGUAUUUUAGGUUAAAAAAGGCUUCUGAUAAGUGUAAUUUACACAGACAUUUCAGAGGAAAUGAAAAAUGUAGUAACCCCUACAACAUUUUAAUUAAUUAUAAUCCACAUACUAACUCACAUUUCCUGUUGCUGCAGGAUUAUUGUCCUGCUGUAGCAUACUGGCUCAAAUUAAGAUCCUACAUCUGUAGCUCUCCGAUUAUUACUGAGUAGUUCCUUGUUUUCACAAUGUAUACUGUGCAUUGUUUUGUUGAGUACAUGAACCCAAUCUUGCAUUCUACUAGUGAAGUUUUUGACUGAUCCCGGAAACCUGGUCACCCGGUUUAAAUGGCACUUUGAUUUCACCCAUUCUUUGCAAUGUGAAGACAAUUGGGAGCUGAAAAGAUUGCAUUUCAUGAACCAUAAGAGGGUUGGGGAACAAAACCCGUUUGGAGAUCUGAAGUGAUGCUGUGUAGGGUUGUGUGUAUGUGUAUAGAUGUGCGUACAUCUGUGUGUGCUUUUGUGAGUGUGUGUGUGUGUGUGUGUGUGUGUGUGUGUGUGUGUGUGUGUGUGUGUGUGUGUGUGUGUGUGUGUGUGUGUGUGUGUGUGUGUGUGUGUGUGUGUGUGUGUGUGUGAUGCAGAGCCAACAAGGUGCCUGCACUCCGAACGAAUCAGUUCAUGCUGUGGAUCUGGUAGAAAUCUCUGAUCGCAAUCAACACACGACCAAAAUGCAACAUUCAAACUACAUUCAAGAACCAACCAAACAACCACCCACAUUUAACCAUACCAAACCAUGUUCUUGCUCACCAAAUGUUAUUUAACCUUAGAGGAACAUAAUGCAGAUAUCGCUUUUAUGACCCGUGCCACACUUUAACAUCCCAUAUGCCAGUACAGUGUCUCCCAACAGACUGUGGGUAAUUUACCAGUGUGGAAGCCCCCCCAGUUCGUCUCAGAGCGUGGAAGCAGGCAUCUGGAUAUUAAGUGGCUGAUGUUUUACGAGGACACAGAGGCCAUAAGGAAUGUUGGUAGUGGUAUAUGGGGAAAUGGAAUGCACAAUGGCUUUGCACCACUUCUUAGCGGAAUGUGUUGAACCCCUGGAAGGGGGAUAAAGUGUUUAAUGGCUUGGCUCCGUAAGGUUUUUUCUUUCUUGUAUUCAUCAUUAGAUACGUUUUUUGAUACUCAUCACAGCACAGCAUGUUGCACCUGCCUGGGGAAACGUAUUUUACUGCAUUACAUUGAAAUAACAAAUGCCAUCAUCAACAGGAAAAUAACAUUUGUUUUCUCUCACGGAUUGUGACCCUGGUGAGUGAGGCACGCUGUGAUGUGCUGUGACACGUGCGAAAAAAAUACUUCAUCUGUAUGAAAUGUGAUUCUUCAUCCACUUCCUCUUCGAGUUAUCCCAUUCAUCAUCAAGUUAUCCCACUCAUACUCUUCCUCUUCGAGUUAUCCCAUUCAUCAUCAAGUUAUCCCACUCAUACUCUUCCUCUUCGAGUUAUCCCAUUCAUACUCUUCCUCCUCGAGUUAUCCCAUUCAUCCUCUUCAUCCUCUUCCUCCUCGAGUUAUCCCAUGAAUUAAUCUUCCUCCUCGAGUUAUCCUUUCAUCCUCUUCCUCCUCGAGUUAUUCCAUUCAUCUUCCUCCUCAAGUUAUCCCAUUCAUCCUCUUCCUCUUCGAGUUAUCCCAUUCAUCCUCUUCCUCCUUGAGUUAUCCCAUUCAUCUUCCUCCUCGAGUUAUCCCAUUCAUCCUCUUCCUCCUCGAGUUAUCCAAUGUAUCUUCCUCCUCGAGUUAUCGCAUUCAUCCUCUUCCUCCUUGAGUUAUCCCAUUCAUCCUCUUCCUCCUUGUGUUAUCCCAUUAAUCUUCCUCCUCAAGUUAUCCCAUUCAUCCUCUUCCUCCUCAAGUUAUCCCAUUCAUCCUCUUCCUCCUCGAGUUAUCCCAUUCAUCCCCUUCCUCCUCAAGUUAUCCCAUUCAUCCUCUUCCUCCUCAAGUUAUCCCAUUCAUCCUCUUCCUCUUCGAGUUUAUCCCAUUCAUCCCCUUCCUCCUCGAGUUUAUCCCAUUCAUCCUCUUCCUCUUCGAGUUUAUCCCAUUCAUCCCCUUCCUCCUCGAGUUUAUCCCAUUCAUCCCCUUCCUCCUCAAGUUAUCCCAUUCAUCCUCUUCCUCUUCGAGUUUAUCCCAUUCAUCCCCUUCCUCCUCGAGUUUAUCCCAUUCAUCCCCUUCCUCCUCGAUUUAUCCCAUUCAUCCUCUUCCUCCUCGAGUUGAUCCCAUUCAUCCCCUUCCUCCUCGAGUUAUCCCAUUCAUCCCCUUCCUCCUCGAGUUAUCCCAUUCAUCCCCUUCCUCCUCGAGUUAUCCCAUUCAUCCCCUUCCUCCCAUUCUCCAGUAAAAUGUUUGGACAUGUUACAGUAUAUGUUUUGUCAUCAUAUAUUUUCAACAUCAAUAUCCAACAUCAUAAACUGGAUACUAUCUGUACUGUAUAUAAUAUAUUGCAUUGCAUGUUGUUUUAAUUUGAGAAAAUAAAGUAGAUCAUCUGCCCAACAUCAAUCCAAUAAAUUACAGCGGAAAGUAGACCAAGAGUGAUGUCAUCUAGUCAACCGUUAAAGGCCCAUUACCUCUCUGUGGUGAAGACCUGGGCAACCGUAACAAGAGUGAUUCUGGCUGGUUGCCAACUCAGGAGAUUUAAAACGUUCCCUCUUGGAUUUUUACGGAUGGUGGGGCGAGGAUUCAGGUUUCAGCUACAGCUCCCCUUUGUCUCUGAUUAGUCAUUCCUCUUAACCUUGUCAUUUUGUCACCACUAAGGGCUGCCAACGCCAACCAACGCCAGGCCCGCUGUACAGGCACUGGCAGAGAAGAGAGGCCAUUGGUGAGGGGAGGGGUGAACAUUUGGAAUGUAGGUUUCUGAGUCAUAUUUGGUCCUUUUGUAUGGGCAGUAUUUUCAGUCUCCAAUUGACAUCAGUGAAUGAUUGGUGCUUAUCUCAACUGUGAAUUGUGCCUAUAUUCUUGACAAGCGAUGCAUGUUACCAGUGUAUUUGAGGACAAAACAUAAUUCACACGAAGAAUCUCGCUACUUCAAACGUGCACACGGGUUCAUCACAAACGCUGUAUGUAUUAUUCUGUUAUGCUUUGGCACAGGUUGUCAGGCCAACAAAAGUUUCCAGCGUCUUAUUCUGAAUUUCAGAUGUGCUGAAAGUGAAUGACGACUUUCCAAUAAUAAGGUAACAUGUCUAUCUGACUAUUUGACAGAUCGUUUCUGCGAUAGCCCGGACUCCACUUAUAAACCAAUUACACCAUAAAAAAUGUACUUAGAAGUGUUGAUAUCUACGGGUCAAAAUAAUCUUCUGUAUGCUAAAAGUUUUGUUCCAAAUGAUAAAGUAUACAGUACCAGCAUUCCUUUUGAAGGUAGCGAUGUGGUAAAAACAGGUUAGGAAAACUAUUUGUUAGUACAGGGUUUCACAAGUCAACCCUGUGUUAAGAAACUCAAUUGGGCUAAUUGGGAUUCUAUUUACAUUCAAUGAGAGAAAUUCAAUUCACAUUGAAAUGUAGCACUGGGUCUACAUUAUAGCAGUGUAGAGAAAGUGAAGGCGUGCUGAAGAUUAAUCUUUAUUGCAAGUGAUUUAACAAUGGCAAGUCCUUAAUCAUUGUUGUAACCUGAUGAAAUUCACCAAUGCAUAAAAUGCACCUGUCACGCCCUGACCUUAGUUAUCUUUGUUUUCUUUAUUAUUUUGGUUAGGUCAGGGUGUGACGAGGGUGGUAUGUGUGUUUUAUCUUGUCUAGGGUUUUUUGUACAUCUAUGGGGUUUUGGUUUGUCUAGGUAAAUGUAAGUCUAUGGUGGCCUGAAUUGGUUCCCAAUCAGAGGCAGCUGUUUAUCGUUGUCUCUGAUUUGGCAUCCUAUUUAGGUUGCCAUUUUCCAUUUUGGUUUUGUGGGUUAUUGUCUAUGUGUAGUUCCUGUCAGCACUCGUGGCGAUUAGCGGCACGUUUGUUAAGUGUACUUUGUGGAAUAAAAGAAGAAUGUAUUCUUAUCACGCUGUGCCUUGGUCUCCUCCUUAUGACAUGGAAUGUUUUUAAACACCUGUACUGUACAAAUACACAAAUGAGCACUGUACUUGAUUUUAACAACAAAAUGGUAAUUUAUUUAGAUUUUGCAUAAGAGGAUACGUGUAUCUUUCUGACAACUCAACAGACAGAUGCCGAACAGGUUGAACAGAUUCUGACUGAAACCCCCUCUACAACCUAAUUACUGCCUUUAAAACAAACUAAAACAAAAAACAAAGAACUAUUGUAGGAAUGCCGC
ensembl:lncRNA